CGGGUGAGUAACACGUAUGCAACCUGCCUGCCACAGCCGGAUAAUCGGGAGAAAUUCCGUCUAAUACGGCAUAAUACAUCGACGGGACAUCCUGUUGGUGCCAAAGGUUGAUUCCGGUGGCGGAUGGGCAUGCGUCGCAUUAGUUAGUUGGCGGUGUAACGGACCACCAAGACGACGAUGCGUAGGGGUUCUGAGAGGAAGGCCCCCCACACUGGUACUGAGACACGGACCAGACUCCUACGGGAGGCAGCAG
rnacentral:rRNA from 1 species